GAUGAACGCUGGCGGCGUGCCUAAUACAUGCAAGUCGAGCGAACGGACGAGAAGCUUGCUUCUCUGAUGUUAGCGGCGGACGGGUGAGUAACACGUGGAUAACCUACCUAUAAGACUGGGAUAACUUCGGGAAACCGGAGCUAAUACCGGAUAAUAUUUUGAACCGCAUGGUUCAAAAGUGAAAGACGGUCUAGCUGUCACUUAUAGAUGGAUCCGCGCUGCAUUAGCUAGUUGGUAAGGUAACGGCUUACCAAGGCAACGAUGCAUAGCCGACCUGAGAGGGUGAUCGGCCACACUGGAACUGAGACACGGUCCAGACUCCUACGGGAGGCAGCAGUAGGGAAUCUUCCGCAAUGGGCGAAAGCCUGACGGAGCAACGCCGCGUGAGUGAUGAAGGUCUUCGGAUCGUAAAACUCAGUUAUUAGGGAAGAACAUAUGUGUAAGUAACUGUGCACAUCUUGACGGUACCUAAUCAGAAAGCCACGACUAACUACGUGCCAGCAGCCGCGGUAAUACGUAGGUGGCAAGCGUUAUCCGGAAUUAUUGGGCGUAAAGCGCGCGUAGGCGGUUUUUUAAGUCUGAUGUGAAAGCCCACGGCUCAACCGUGGAGGGUCAUUGGAAACUGGAAAACUUGAGUGCAGAAGAGGAAAGUGGAAUUCCAUGUGUAGCGGUGAAAUGCGCAGAGAUAUGGAGGAACACCAGUGGCGAAGGCGACUUUCUGGUCUGUAACUGACGCUGAUGUGCGAAAGCGUGGGGAUCAAACAGGAUUAGAUACCCUGGUAGUCCACGCCGUAAACGAUGAGUGCUAAGUGUUAGGGGGUUUCCGCCCCUUAGUGCUGCAGCUAACGCAUUAAGCACUCCGCCUGGGGAGUACGACCGCAAGGUUGAAACUCAAAGGAAUUGACGGGGACCCGCACAAGCGGUGGAGCAUGUGGUUUAAUUCGAAGCAACGCGAAGAACCUUACCAAAUCUUGACAUCCUUUGACAACUCUAGAGAUAGAGCUUUCCCCUUCGGGGGACAAAGUGACAGGUGGUGCAUGGUUGUCGUCAGCUCGUGUCGUGAGAUGUUGGGUUAAGUCCCGCAACGAGCGCAACCCUUAAGCUUAGUUGCCAUCAUUAAGUUGGGCACUCUAAGUUGACUGCCGGUGACAAACCGGAGGAAGGUGGGGAUGACGUCAAAUCAUCAUGCCCCUUAUGAUUUGGGCUACACACGUGCUACAAUGGACAAUACAAAGGGCAGCGAAACCGCGAGGUCAAGCAAAUCCCAUAAAGUUGUUCUCAGUUCGGAUUGUAGUCUGCAACUCGACUACAUGAAGCUGGAAUCGCUAGUAAUCGUAGAUCAGCAUGCUACGGUGAAUACGUUCCCGGGUCU
rnacentral:rRNA from 1 species